GCCGGGAUGGCGGAAUUGGUAGACGCACGGGACUCAAAAUCCCGCGCCCCAAAGGCGUGCCGGUUCGAUUCCGGCUCCAGGCACCA
rnacentral:tRNA from 1 species